GUGCCAGCCGCCGCGGUAAUACGUAGGGUGCGAGCGUUAAUCGGAAUUACUGGGCGUAAAGCGUGCGCAGGCGGUUUGAAAAGUCAGAUGUGAAAUCCCCGGGCUCAACCUGGGAACUGCGUUUGAAACUCUCAAACUAGAGUAUGGCAGAGGGGGGUAGAAUUCCACGUGUAGCAGUGAAAUGCGUAGAGAUGUGGAGGAAUACCAAUGGCGAAGGCAGCCCCCUGGGUCAAUACUGACGCUCAUGCACGAAAGCGUGGGGAGCAAACAGGAUUAGAUACCCGAGUAGUCC
rnacentral:rRNA from 1 species